UUGACAAGGAAAAAGAGAUGGCGAGAUCUGUGCAAGGAAAUCUAACAGUAAUCCUCUUCUUUGCGCCGGCGUUUUUAAGUUAUCUAUACGCAUUUUCGGUCAUUCCGUUUUCAUUCUUAAAGAGUUGCAGUCGAAGCGGCAUUGACUUUAUUGCUUUUGCAUUUAAAUUGUGUAUAUUGUUUUAAUAAUACAUUAAAAGUGAUACCAGCAAUGAGUUUUGAGUUUUGUUGACAUGGUGAAUUAAACUAUUGCUUAGCCAAAAUGCAAAGGGUGCUUCGCGGGACAAGUGAAAGCCGCGGGACGAGUGAAGGCGUAUGGAGAUACAAUGUAUGCGGGAAAAAUGAAAUCUGUGUUGGAAAAUGUAUUUAUGGGAAAAAAGGUGCUCAAACAAACUGGUAUCAAGGUAAUUCCCGUUGUGCCAACGGAAGAGCAGGACUCGCCAUUGCCAUAGCCGUCGCAAUCUAUCUGCUUCUGAUUCGCCAGGACACAGCUGCUGGGCUAUCAACUAUUUGUAGAGCUUAAAAGGACAAUUUAAAAAACAGGGAACAGAACAGAGAAGCGAAAAUGCACUGAGAGAAAACUGUGACGAUAAGUUGAAGGAUUUUGUUGCAAACUUUAAGAUGUUUAUGGAAAAAGUAAGUUGGUAUUAAAAGGUAUUUAAUUAAUAUUAAAAUGGAUUUUUUUUUAGUAUUUUUAAAACAUAA